rnacentral:rRNA from 1 species
GAGGAAUAUUGGUCAAUGGGCGAGAGCCUGAACCAGCCAAGUCGCGUGAAGGAAGAAGGAUCUAUGGUUCGUAAACUUCUUUUUUAGGGGAAUAAAGUGCGGUACGUGUACCGUUUUGUAUGUACCCUACGAAUAAGGAUCGGCUAACUCCGUGCCAGCAGCCGCGGUAAUACGGAGGAUCCGAGCGUUAUCCGGAUUUAUUGGGUUUAAAGGGUGCGUAGGCGGAAGAAUAAGUCAGUGGUGAAAGUUUGCAGCUCAACUGUAAAAUUGCCGUUGAAACUGUUUUUCUUGAGUGUAAAUGAGGUAGGCGGAAUGUGUUGUGUAGCGGUGAAAUGCUUAGAUAUGACACAGAACACCGAUUGCGAAGGCAGCUUACUAAGAUACAACUGACGCUGAGGCACGAAAGCGUGGGGAUCGAAC